GGAGUGAGAUGCGCCGUACCUUCAGCUCCGGCAUGCUGCCAAUCAGCUCGUAGGGCAAACGCACUUCCGGUUGGUUUUUGUAGUCCAGUGGCACGAGCUGCGGAGCUAAAUCACGGUAUCGAUGAAACAGUCUGAGCAAAGACGACAAACAUUCAUUGACAGCUCUUCUCAACUAUUCUUCUAUCACUCCAGUCCAGAUUGGUGAAUGAGGUUGGUCAGUGACAGCCGCAGCUGCCAGCCACCAUGUCAUCAUACUGCUUCAGAACCACGUUCUCAUCGUCGUCAAAGUACAGCAGGUUAAUGCUGAAGAGCUUGUCCGGCACGCAGCAGGGCGUCUCGAUGCCUUUGGUCAGUUUGAGGGCGUUGAUGAUGGACUGGACCGUGGCGUGGUUGGUGGGCCUCAUGUUCUGACCCAGAGGAAACGGACAGGAGCCUUUGCAGUGGUAAGCGUUGUAUCCGCGCGGAGACACGAUCCAGCCGGACCAGCCAAUCUCCUCGAAGUCCACAUAGAGCGGCAGACGCUGACACGGCAUCUUCUCCCCGCUCUCAUCAUAGUCUAAGGAGCGAGCGCUGCGACGAGCCGCAGCUGAGAGAGGGAGGCUGGGAAACGGGAGCCUGGGUCCAGCAGGAGAAUCAUCUGAACCUGAAGACACAGAGGAAACUUUUAGAUGCCAUGGACUAUCCUUGUUCAAGUGAUGCUCUACUUAAAAUGCGUGAGCUCCAGAGAAGCGGCCCGUCUGCCAUCGUCGGUGAAGAGGACCAGCAUGGGCUGUUUGCUAUGAUGGUGGUUAUGGCCUGAUGCGAAACGCACAGUUUUCGGGUCCAUCUGAAGACCUGCUAAAG